GAGCAAUUCGAGUGGUCAUUAUUACGUCUAGCUAAAGUAGCAAAGUUGGGCGGGCCAGUAAGCUGUUCACGUCAGCGGAGGAGUCACGGUGGAGGUUUGCAGCUAGGCGGGUGGUUUCUUUAAAACACCCCAAAGCAGUAAGGUCGAGAAGAAAAUGUAUAGGUGGAUUCUGAACCAACAUUCAGGCCCUAAUGGAGGCCCAAUAAACCUUCUCGUUUAGAACAAGAAU
rnacentral:misc_RNA from 1 species